rnacentral:rRNA from 1 species
GACGAACCGUACGAACGUUAUUCGGAAUUACUGGGCUUAAAGGGUGCGUAGGCUGUGCAGAAAGUUGGGUGUGAAAUCCCUUAGCUUAACUGAGGAACUGCGCCCAAAACUACUGUGCUAGAGGGAGACAGGGGUAAGCGGAACUUACGGUGGAGCGGUGAAAUGUGUUGAUAUCGUAAGGAACACCGGUGGCGAAGGCGGCUUACUGGGUCUCUUCUGACGCUGAGGCACGAAAGCUAGGGGAGCAAACGGG